CCACUUCCUGUUUGGGGGGGCCUUAUGAAGGCACAGUCAGAUGUACACCCAUGAAAUUUUAGAUGAUGAGAGAGGACCUUUCUGAGUAUCUCCAGUUUUAAUUUCAUGCACGUCGGACGAAGCGCAGAGAAAAGAUAGGUCAGAA